rfam:Nelumbo nucifera unplaced genomic scaffold scaffold00736, whole genome shotgun sequence
GGGUGCGAUCAUGCCGGCACUAAUCCACCGGAUCCCAUCAGAACUCCGAAAUUAAGCGUGCUUGGGCGUGAGUAGUACUAGGAAGGGUGACUACUUGGGAAGUCCCCGUGUUGCACCCC